CAGAGCAGUGGUGGUGAGCCGCAGAUAAGCAGCACCAAGGCUGAAAGCGCUUGGCUCUUUCGGAUCUGGUACAACUUUGAUCACAAAUACUUAAAGCCAGCCUUGACACAUUCUGGUCCACCACUCACAACAACUUUACCAGCAUGGUGCGGUCCUGUUGCUAAGUUACUGACCAGCCCUCUGGCAUACCAGGACCAUCAGAAGGAAGAUGACACAGAUUACAUCAUCAGUAAUGAUGAGCUGUCGGGGUAUUAUGACGACAAAGCAGUACCUGCUUCCUCUUCGGGUGAGGAACCAGGAAAGCAGAGUCCCAGCCAAGAGCAACCAGGGACCAAGGAUAUCUUCCAUGAAGGAUAAGUUCAGCGAAACAUUGGCACUACCUCAAAAUGGAUUCCAGGUGGCUAUACAUCCGAAAUUGGGCAAAGCAUUUUUUGGCACAUUUUCUGGUAAGGGAACAAAAUGGAAGGAGAGAUUGAAAAGCUCUCAUAUCCUCAGAUCAACUCAACUACUCCAGCCCUUAAAUUCCCAUUUGUACCUUCUCCUGCUGAGCAGGCACUAAACUCUCGUACUAAAAUCCAAACCCACAACUAGAGCAGCUGGACCAAUACUUAAACGGUGAGUUCAUGAAUUCCUAACAGUAACACGCCUGAGACCAAAAGGCUAUCUCAUGACAUUUUUGGAAGAAUGUUAUUUUAAUUCUGUCCAGAGCCUUGGGAAUUUGCCUGUCCAAUCAAAUUAAUGUAACUGCACUGACCUGAUGGUUUUUUUCCUUUGAAAAGCUCUUUGAUGUCAUACUAAACUUUGCUCCUUUCUGUCUCUGAUAUAAAACAGUCCCUGCUCGGGCCUCUGCCCUCAUGCAGGAAUGAUUCUAAUGCAGACUUUACAAUCAUGCUCUGUUACUGCUGAAGAAAUACCAUUGCACUAUUGUGGAAGCUUUCAAAAGUUAAUCAAUAUAAAUGUAAUUGUCCCUUUCUGUGUUCUUAAUAAUUUUGAAGGGUGUUAGAAUCCUAAAGGUCAGUGGUACCUUUUUACAUUGUUACAUCACAUUCCACUGUUCUAAUGGUGUAACGGGUUGAAUUUCAGUCAUGUUCUCCGUAGUCUCUGGUUCAAUAACUUGAUAAUGUUGACUAAGACAAACCACCUAUAAAUGGAAAAAAACUAUGGAACUCAACUAUCUCGGUGUCUUAGUAAAUAAACGCAUUAUUUGAAGUCUUCUGGAAACCUGUGCUUUGCAUUAUGCUGUGGUAUGAAGCCAUACAAGGCCAAAAGUUCCCAAGAGUGAUCCUAGACAGGAGUCAACAUCCAACAACUAACUUGGCAACCACUUGGCUGGGAAGAAGCAUGGAACUAUCUAAUGUGGAAUUGUUACGCAGCAGCCUCUGCUGACUUUCAGAGUGUUAGAUAAAGAAAGGAUUGAGGCUGUAACAAUGUGACAAAUAGCCCGACAAUACCCAUUCCCAUUGCUCACACACGAAGAUCAGAUAGUGGAGGCUCUCAGUGCUUGCAAAACUACCAAAGUAGGAAGUUGAUUUGGGAGUCCAUUGCUUCCAAAGCUCCAGCCAGAAAGGUGUGAAGGUGCCGGUGAUGGACUGGGGUGGACAAGGUCAGAAGUCACAUGACCCCAGGUUAUGGUCCAACAGUCACCUGAUGAAGGAGCAGUGCUCUGAAAGCUUGUGAUUUCAAAUAAAUCUGUUGGACUAUAACCUGGUGUCGACUGACUUCUGAUCUUGUUCAGCCAGAAAGGAAGGAGAAUUAAGAACAGAGGUAGGAAUCUGACUUUCUGAUCACUGGGUUUCAGUAACGGUCUCCAAACACAUUUGAUGCUGGACAAUUAACAUUACAAAACUAUGAUAUAUUUUUGUCAGGAAAGGCUAAUAAGGGUUAAAGAUUCGAAACAGCUGGAUGGAGCUGAUACAGAUAAAGCCAUGAUCUAACAGUGUGGCAGAGCAGGCUAGAUAACACCUUAAGGUAGAUGCUACUUAAACAGAAUGUAAACAGUACGUUGGAUUAGGAUUUGCCUGAAAGACUUUGCUCCAUCACAGUUAACAUGCAUCGCCAGGGGGAUAAAAGAGAAGAUUAUAUUUCUGCACCUGAGUUAAACUGUAUUGUUAAAAAGUACUGUCAAUGUUUACUGGUGUGAAUUUUGCUGUGAAAUAGCUAAUUAGGUUCUCAAAAUCUUUCCGACAUACCUAAAAUUCAAAUCGAUGUAAUACUGUACGUAUUUUAUUCAGGCUAUGCUUUGCCCUCAUCAUAAUCUUAACUUCAGAGACUGUUAAUCUGUUUGAUAUUGGAAACCACUAUUUGUGAAAGAACCUUUUAUUUCUUUGGGUAUGCAAAAAUAGGCUUUAUAUAAGAUGAAAAUCUGUUUGAAGUUUUCUGGAACUUUGUAUUGCACAUUAGUAAAUUUGCUGUAACAUAGACAUUGGGUAAUUUUACAAUGGGCUCUGCAGCUCAUGUAGAUCAAUGUCAUCUCUGCAACAUUUGGGGUGGUGUCCAAGAAACAGAUGGAAGCAUCAUUUUGUCUUACAUCAGUGGAGAGACCAUAAAAAAUAGCACCUAACUUUUCUCAAUACAUGUGUUGCAGAAGUAUAAAGCAUACAGUUGUCAGCUUUGCUUUGUCAUAUACAUUGGAAACAUUCAAGUCCUUUGACAUUCAGACAAAUGAUUUUAGUUAGUUUCAGAUAGUUUAUAAGGUAUGUCAUAGUUUGAUAACAGGAGGCUCCACAAGCUAGAAAAAGGAAUGGUGAACUUUAAUUUAAGUCAAAAAUCAUGAUUUAUUUUCUUGAAGAUGUUGACAAAUAGGAAGGGCAUGCAAUAAAUCAUAAGUAACAAGGCAUUAAAAUACCAAGUCAGUAGCAGUGUCUGCAUAGUUAUGGGAGUUUUUUGUACAUUUACUCAUGGGAUACAGGUGACACUGGCUGGGGCAGCAUUUAUUGCACAUCCCUAAUUGCUUAAAGGACUAUUAAGAGUCGACCACAUUGCUGUGGGUCAUGUAGGUCAGACUGGCAGAUUUCCUUCUCUAAAGGGCGUUAGUGAACCAAAUGGGUUCUUACAACAAUCCAUGAUAGUUUUUAUGGUCACUAUUACUGAGACGAGCUUUACAUUUAAGGUUUUCAUGAUUUGAAUCACCAGUUACCAUGGUUGGAUUUGAAAAUCUGUUCCCAAAAGCAUUAGCCUAAGCCUCUGGAUUACUGGGCCAAUGGUAUUACCAUCAUAAACCUCAUAUUUUCCUAUAAGAGAUCGUGGCAAAUGGAUGACCCUCUGAUAUAUCAACAUCCUACACUAUUUUAAGUGAAAUCAAAGAAAAAUUGCUUCUUAAUUGAUAUUUCUUUGACUCUCUAGGAUUAUGCACUCUCUAGAAUCAAAGCAAUUGUUGUCUUUGUUGCUAACCUGCUACCACAAACAAACGCAAAAUCAAAAUAACCAUCAUAGGCAGUACAUAUCUACCAAAAAAAGGCCAAGAUUAAACAAAAGAGCAAGAAUUAAAGGUAGCAAACUACCCAUCUAGAAUCUUGUCUUCCUUUCCAUAAAAAACCUUGCCUGUCAUGUAUUUUCUGUACCAACAGUGUAAGAUGCCUUUGCAGUGUAACCUGUUGUAAUAUGGUGCACUUUCACAAUGGAAAUAAAAUUAAAACAGUUUCAACUUAA